rnacentral:rRNA from 1 species
CCUACGGGUGGCUGCAGUCGGGAAUUUUGGGCAAUGGGCGAAAGCCUGACCCAGCAACGCCGCGUGAGCGAUGAAGGCCUUCGGGUCGUAAAGCUCUGUCGGGAGGGAAGAAGACUCUCUGGGUGAAUAAUCCAGGGGGGAGGACGGUACCUCUAGAGGAAGCGCCGGCUAACUCCGUGCCAGCAGCCGCGGUAAUACGGAGGGCGCAAGCGUUGUUCGGAAUCACUCGGCGUAGUGCGCGUGUUGUGAAAGCCCGGAGCUCAACUCCGGAACUGCACUCGAAACUGCCUCGCUCGAGUCCCGGAGAGGGUGGUGGAAUUCCCGGUGUAGAGGUGAAAUUCGUAGAUAUCGGGAGGAACACCAGUGGCGAAGGCGGCCACCUGGACGGUGACUGACGCUGAGACGCGAAAGCGUGGGGAGCAAACAGGAUUAGAUACCCUAGUAGUC